AUUUAUUGCUGGUGGUUCUGAGGACUGAACCCAGAACUUCACACACUUGUCCACUGAGCUACCAGUGGACAAAAUAUCCAGCCCCUGAUAUUUUAGUUUAUAUUUGUCUCCUGUAGAUGUUGUUUACCCAGGGUCGGUUGACAUAGCCACUUCAUGACACCCAAGACAGUUUUUAAAAUGUUUCUGAUUCGGUUCUGGGAAAGUGACCUCUACCUCAUGGCUAAAACCCAGCUUCAUGGUUGCCUGCUAUCCCAGGGGAGAGAGAAGUAAGUGAAGGAGACCUACCGAGAAGGCCACAUGGGCUAGUUCUGGCUGCUGUCUAAAACUUAGUCACACGGCCAGUCUUAACUCAGGCUACUGGGGAGAUACUAUUUCAGGAAUGCAUGAGUCCACCUAUUUAUUUACAGAAACAACUAGAAGUUUCUUCCAUAGAGCGUCUGUGGAGACAUAGAAGACAUUUAAGGGCAGGAAAAUCAGUUCUAAAAGUAAAAAUAAAUUAAAGUGAGAGAAUUAUAGUUAUACUUCCUAGGGAGGGAGUGAGAAAGUGAAGAAUGAGAAGAAAGAAUCCAGGGGAGACAGGUAGGAGAGGCGGAGUUCAGCCAUGAAAAUAAAGUCCUCUAAGUUUCAGAAAGAUGAAGCUCCAGGGUGACGUUCUGGACAAGUUUCAAGAAAAGAGUCAUGAGUGGUGUGCAGUGAGGGGGCUGUUGUGGUCUGGAUGGGACAGACCUUGGGGUGAAGUCUGAACAUUGCAAUCUAACUGCAAAUUUGAUCCUGUCAAACAUCAGUGCCUUUCUGAGCUGGCUGUCACCAGAAUAGAGUCCUCCCAGACGGAAUUAGGGACUAUCAAGGGGCUUGAGCCUCCCCUUCUUAUCUGUCGCAAAGAACAAUUGGUCACCCUAUUUGCCACACAAGGUAGGAAUUGCAUUGGGCCGUUUGAAGCCUGGAUAAUGGCUCAUUCAUGGGGACCCAGCAUGGAAUGCAUCCAUCCAUGCGGUGCUUUCUUCCUGUAGUUCAGGACCCUGAGUUCUGAGAUCACCUCAGUUGAAGUCUGCAUUCACCUCAGCCCAGGGCGCGUGGCUGACCACUCUGUGCACACACAA
rnacentral:lncRNA from 1 species